rnacentral:rRNA from 1 species
ACCUGCCCACUGAAAUUUUUAAAUGGCCGCAGUAAUUUGACUGUGCAAAGGUAGCAUAAUCAUUAGUUUUUUAAUUAAAAGCUUGUAUGAAUGGUUGGACGAGGUAAAUUCUGUCUUUAUUUAAAUAAUAUUAGAAUUUAAUUUUUAAGUUAAAAAGCUUAAAUAAAUGUAAAAGACGAGAAGACCCUAUAGAUCUUUAUAUUAUUAUUUUAUAAUUUUAAUGAGGAAUUUUUAAUUUUUUAUAUUUUAUAAUAUUUUAUUGGGGUAAUAAAAAGAUUAAAUGAAUUCUUUUUUAUAUUUUACAUUUAUUUAUGAAUUUAUGAUCCAAAAUUUUUGAUUAUAAGAUUAAGUUACCUUAGGGAUAACAGCGUAAUUUUUUUAGAGAGUUCAUAUCGAUAAAAAAGUUUGCGACCUCGAUGUUGGAUUAAAAAUUGUUUUAGGCGCAGAAGUUUAAAAAUUUGGUCUGUUCGACCAUUAAAUUUUU